UAGACAUGCCAGUCAAAUCUUAGCUGUGU
rnacentral:piRNA from 1 species